rnacentral:rRNA from 1 species
UACGUAGGGUGCAAGCGUUAAUCGGAAUUACUGGGCGUAAAGCGUGCGCAGGCGGUUCGUUAAGACAGAUGUGAAAUCCCCGGGCUUAACCUGGGAACUGCAUUUGUGACUGGCGGACUCGAGUAUGGCAGAGGGGGGUAGAAUUCCACGUGUAGCAGUGAAAUGCGUAGAGAUGUGGAGGAAUACCGAUGGCGAAGGCAGCCCCCUGGGCCAAUACUGACGCUCAUGCACGAAAGCGUGGGGAGCGAACAGG